ACUCCUACGGGAGGCAGCAGUGGGGAAUAUUGGACAAUGGGGGCAACCCUGAUCCAGCCAUGCCGCGUGGGUGAAGAAGGCCUUCGGGUUGUAAAGCCCUUUUGUGCGGGAAGAAAAGUCGUCGGUGAACAUCCGGCGAUGCUGACGGUACCGCAAGAAUAAGCACCGGCUAACUUCGUGCCAGCAGCCGCGGUAAUACGAAGGGUGCAAGCGUUACUCGGAAUUACUGGGCGUAAAGCGUGCGUAGGUGGUGAGUUAAGUCUGAUGUGAAAUCCCCGGGCUCGACCUGGGAAUGGCAUUGGAUACUGGCUCGCUGGAGUGCGGUAGAGGGUGGUGGAAUUCCCGGUGUAGCAGUGAAAUGCGUAGAGAUCGGGAGGAACAUCUGUGGCGAAGGCGGCCACCUGGACCAGCACUGACACUGAGGCACGAAAGCGUGGGGAGCAAACAGGAUUAGAUACCCUGGUAGUCCACGCCCUAAACGAUGCGAACUGGAUGUUGGUGGGAACUUGCCCAUCAGUAUCGAAGCUAACGCGUUAA
rnacentral:rRNA from 1 species